GACGAACGCUGGCGGCGUGCUUAACACAUGCGAGUCGAACGGAAAGGCCCUGCUUUUGUGGGGUGCUCGAGUGGCGAACGGGUGAGUAACACGUGAGUAACCUGCCCUUGACUUUGGGAUAACUUCAGGAAACUGGGGCUAAUACCGGAUAGGAGCUCCUGCUGCAUGGUGGGGGUUGGAAAGUUUCGGCGGUUGGGGAUGGACUCGCGGCUUAUCAGCUUGUUGGUGGGGUAGUGGCUUACCAAGGCUUUGACGGGUAGCCGGCCUGAGAGGGUGACCGGCAACGUGGGGACGGAGGGCGGGCCCGGACGCCGAGGGGGGCAAGAGGGGGGAAUAUUUGACAAGGGGGGGGAAGCCGGAGGCGGCAGCCCCGGGGGGGGAAUGACGCCUUUCGGUUGGAAACCCGUUUUCGCUGGUAAGGAAGGGGGGGGGAGGUGAGGGGGUAAGGAGACCCCGCCUAACUGCGUC
rnacentral:rRNA from 1 species